CCCGUAGCUCAGUUGGUUAGAGCAGCGUCCUUUUAAGUCGUGGGUUGUGGGUUUCGCCCACCGACAAGUCCCA
rnacentral:tRNA from 1 species